rnacentral:rRNA from 1 species
AGUGAACGCUGGCGGUAGGCCUAACACAUGCAAGUCGAACGGCAGCACAAUAAGAGCUUGCUCUUACGGGUGGCGAGUGGCGGACGGGUGAGGAAUACAUCGGAAUCUACUUUUUCGUGGGGGAUAACGUAGGGAAACUUACGCUAAUACCGCAUACGACCUACGGGUGAAAGCAGGGGAUCUUCGGACCUUGCGCGAUUGAAUGAGCCGAUGUCGGAUUAGCUAGUUGGCGGGGUAAAGGCCCACCAAGGCGACGAUCCGUAGCUGGUCUGAGAGGAUGGUCGCCCACACUGGAACUGAGACACGCUCCAGACUCCUACGGGAGGCAGCAGUGGGGAAUAUUGGACAGUGGGCGCGAGCCUGGUCCAGCCAUCCCGCGUGUGUGAAGAAGGCCUUCGGGUUGUAAAGCCCUUUUGUUGGGAAAGAACAGCAGCAGGUUAAUACCACGCUGUUCUGACGGUACCCAAAGAAUAAGCACCGGCUAACUUCGUG